AUAGAAGGCCCAGCCGGCCCAGUGAUAGAAUUCAGAGGCCGCGGUAGCCCAACCGUGCGAAGGUAGCGUAAUCACUUGUCCUUUAAAUGAGGACUAGUAUGAACGGCUUCACGAAGGCUGCACUGUCUCCUUUUUCUAAUCAGUAAAACUAAUCUCCCCGUGAAGAAGCGGGAAUCCACCUAUAAGACGAGAAGACCCUAUGGAGCUUUAAACAAUUGUUUACACUUGCACUCAAAUUCUUAUUUAAUAUCUAACCAAGCAUUAUGUUUCUAGUUUUAGGUUGGGGUGACCAUGGAGAAAAACUUAUCCUCCAUAUUGAAAGAAUUCUAUUUCUUAGCAAAAAGUUACAUCUUGAUGCACCAACAAAUUGACCUUAAUUGACCCAAUAAUUUGAUCAACGAACCAAGUUACCCUAGGGAUAACAGCGCAAUCCACUUCAAGAGUUCUUAUCGACAAGUGGGUUUACGACC
rnacentral:rRNA from 1 species